UACGUAGGGUGCGAGCGUUUAAUCGGAAUCACUGGGCGUAAAGCGUGCGCAGGCGGUUCGUGAUGUCUGAUGUGAAAGCCCCGGGCUCAACCUGGGAAUGGCAUUGGAAACUAGCGGGCUGGAGUGUGGCAGAGGGGGUGGAAUUCCACGUGUAGCAGUGAAAUGCGUAGAGAUGUGGAGGAACACCGAUGGCGAAGGCGGGUCUCUGGGCCGAUACUGACGCUGAGGAGCGAAAGCGUGGGGAGCGAACAGG
rnacentral:rRNA from 1 species